GAGCCAAAAGCAAAACAAAGGGAACAAACCUUCAGAAAUAGUUGGUUGACCAGUUCUUGGAUUGAAAAUAAAGAUAACACCAUUGAUUGGUUUGGCCGUCAGGUUACCCUCGGUUUUGUGAAUGGUAACUCGAUAGACAUUUGUGUCAUCCACAAACCAUAUGAUUUGAUUGCUGAAUAUCUCUCCGUACUGUAG
rnacentral:rRNA from 1 species